rnacentral:rRNA from 1 species
AAAAAAGGUAAGCUACUAAGAGCGAAUGGUGGAUGCCUUGACUGGUAAAGGCGAUGAAGGACGUACUAGACUGCGAUAAGCUACGGGGAGCUGUCAAGAAGCUUUGAUCCGUAGAUUUCCGAAUGGGGCAACCCAAUGUAUAGAGAUAUACAUUACCUAUAUAGGAGCGAACGAGGGGAAUUGAAACAUCUUAGUACCCUCAGGAAAAGAAAUCAAUAGAGAUUGCGUCAGUAGCGGCGAGCGAAAGCGCAAGAGGGCAAACCCAGUGCUUGCACUGGGGGUUGUAGGACUGCAAUGUGCAAGAGCUGAGUUUAGCAGAACAUUCUGGAAAGUAUAGCCAUAGAGGGUGAUAGUCCCGUAUGCGAAAAACAAAGCUUAGCUAGCAGUAUCCUGAGUAGGGCGGGACACGAGGAAUCCUGUCUGAAUCCGGGUCGACCACGAUCCAACCCUAAAUACUAAUACCAGAUCGAUAGUGCACAAGUACCGUGAGGGAAAGGUGAAAAGAACUGAGGUGAUCAGAGUGAAAUAGAACCUGAAACCAUUUGCUUACAAUCAUUCAGAGCACUAUGUAGCAAUACAGUGUGAUGGACUGCCUUUUGCAUAAUGAGCCUGCGAGUUGUGGUGUCUGGCAAGGUUAAGCAAACGCGAAGCCGUAGCGAAAGCGAGUCUGAAUAGGGCGCUUAGUCAGAUGCUGCAGACCCGAAACGAAGUGAUCUAUCCAUGAGCAAGUUGAAGCUAGUGUAAGAACUAGUGGAGGACUGAACCCAUAGGCGUUGAAAAGCCCCGGGAUGACUUGUGGAUAGGGGUGAAAGGCCAAUCAAACUUCGUGAUAGCUGGUUCUCUCCGAAAUAUAUUUAGGUAUAGCGUUGUGUCGUAAUAUAAGGGGGUAGAGCACUGAAUGGGCUAGGGCAUACACCAAUGUACCAAACCCUAUCAAACUCCGAAUACCUUAUAUGUAAUCACAGCAGUCAGGCGGCGAGUGAUAAAAUCCGUCGUCAAGAGGGAAACAACCCAGACUACCAGCUAAGGUCCCUAAAUCUUACUUAAGUGGAAAACGAUGUGAAGUUACUUAAACAACCAGGAGGUUGGCUUAGAAGCAGCCAUCCUUUAAAGAAAGCGUAAUAGCUCACUGGUCUAGUGAUUUUGCGCGGAAAAUAUAACGGGGCUAAAGUAAGUACCGAAGCUGUAGACUUGCGCACAACUUAGAUUAUUUAAGUUUAGAAUAUGAGAAACUAAGUUAUAUUUUUACUGAUUUUUAUAGAGUAAAGAUAGAAAUAAAACUUAGUAAAAUCAGUAAAAAUAUUCUUAGGCUAAAGUUAAGUAGUUUAAGUUGUGUGCAAGUGGUAGGAGAGCGUUCUAUUUGCGUCGAAGGUAUACCGGUAAGGAGUGCUGGAGCGAAUAGAAGUGAGCAUGCAGGCAUGAGUAGCGAUAAUUAAUGUGAGAAUCAUUAACGCCGUAAACCCAAGGUUUCCUACGCGAUGCUCGUCAUCGUAGGGUUAGUCGGGUCCUAAGUCGAGUCCGAAAGGGGUAGACGAUGGCAAAUUGGUUAAUAUUCCAAUACCAACAUUAGUGUGCGAUGGAAGGACGCUUAGGGCUAAGGGGGCUAGCGGAUGGAAGUGCUAGUCUAAGGUCGUAGGAGGUUAUACAGGCAAAUCCGUAUAACAAUACUCCGAGAACUGAAAGGCUUUUUGAAGUCUUCGGAUGGAUAGAAGAACCCCUGAUGCCGUCGAGCCAAGAAAAGUUUCUAAGUUUAGCUAAUGUUGCCCGUACCGUAAACCGACACAGGUGGGUGGGAUGAGUAUUCUAAGGCGCGUGGAAGAACUCUCUUUAAGGAACUCUGCAAAAUAGCACCGUAUCUUCGGUAUAAGGUGUGGUUAGCUUCGUACUAGGAUUUACUCCGAAAGCGAAGAAACUUACAACAAAGAGUCCCUCCCGACUGUUUACCAAAAACACAGCACUCUGCUAACUCGUAAGAGGAUGUAUAGGGUGUGACGCCUGCCCGGUGCUCGAAGGUUAAUUGAUGGGGUUAGCAUUAGCGAAGCUCUUGAUCGAAGCCCGAGUAAACGGCGGCCGUAACUAUAACGGUCCUAAGGUAGCGAAAUUCCUUGUCGGUUAAAUACCGACCUGCAUGAAUGGCGUAACGAGAUGGGAGCUGUCUCAAAGAGGGAUCCAGUGAAAUUGUAGUGGAGGUGAAAAUUCCUCCUACCCGCGGCAAGACGGAAAGACCCCGUGGACCUU